rnacentral:lncRNA from 1 species
UAUGCUUUGUAAAAAUUUUGGCAGACUUCCCCCUUGAAUUAUAGACUAAAACCACCUGAAAUAUAUAAUCCAAUAUCCUAAACAAAUACAUAUAGUUUAAAAUAGGGUACACUGGCUCACAAAAAAUCAACUAUUCAAAUACAACACUGACAAUUUGAUCUUUGCAACAAUUUAUAAACCACAUUACCCAAAAUGCAUAAUAUAUACAAAAUAUAGCAUGCUCAAAAUAUGGAACUAAUUUCUGACCAAAGGAGGUGUCUAUUCCAAAAUAUGAGCUAUUACACUGAUAAGAUGAGUCAUACAAUGCUUGACAAUUUAUAGUUCAACUCGAUAGAUCAACUCGCCCAGUAGUUCUCAGCUCAGCUACAAUCUGUCUGAUAAGGAAAAAAGGGUAAAAGCAAUAUGAGCUAAUAGCUCAGUGAGUGGAUAAUUUGCAAAUAAGUAAACUUUUUUCCAUUUAUGCAUAUUUUCUUAAAAUUCUUGCUCUAUUAACACUUUGAGAAUUCUGAAAUCUGAUAAAACCUUUAGAAAUAAAAGAUGACUGCAUCAUGAGAUUCUUUGUUCUUUAUUCGAGAUAAAUAACUGUAAAGUAUAACAAAUUUUGGUACCCAUGAUAAUCUAUGAAAUAUUGUUGUCACUUAAUACUAUAAACUGAAAACUUUAUUCUUAGAAAUGAAUAACUAUAUUCUACAAUCUAGUCAUACAUACAUAGAGCUACAUUUACCUUAAUGUACUCAUUAUUCUUGAUGUCUGUAUCAUAACAACGUAUAAACUCAAAAUUCUGGUACUAAAUCAUAAAUUAGACUCAAGCUGAUAUAUAAAAGCAAGAUGAUAAUAAUUAAUACAAGAUGAGUGAGAACAUUAGACAAACUCACUAAGCUAAAAUCAUCAUCUGAAAUCCAUAAGCUGAACUGUAAACGGGAAAAUGUAAGCUGAAAGCUAAUAAUCCGCUACAUACUUAAAAUUCACAUCAAAAUAUACUCCAUGUAAUCAUCUACUGAUGAUCUGAAAGCUAUAAAAUCAUAUACACAUAAACCGUCUGAUCUGUACACGCCCGUAGCCCCUCAGUGUACAAGAUGAAAACAACAUAAUCAUCCUUAUACACGACUGUAGCCCUUCAGUGUAUAAUAGGUACCCUUACACACGGUCGUAGCCCUUCAGUGGAUAAGAGUUACCUUUAUACACGGCUGUAGCCCCUCAGUGUAUAGGAGUUAAAUACAUGACUCUAGUACACGGCCGUAGCCCCUCAGUGCACUAGAGUAAGAUAAUCACAUCAAUUAUUUAAAUGAUAAUUUCAAAACAAUCAUGCUCAUUUACUAAUUCUCGAAAAUAAGGCAUUUCAUGUAAUUAACAUGCUUUAAAAUAAAAAGGAAAUCUUCUUUUUGAAAACGUAGAUUUUCCACUCACAGAUUUAUGAAUAGCAAUCUGAUUCAAUUUUACCAACUUUGCUCAGCUUUCACGUUACCACCUGAAAUACGAUAUAAAAUAACUAAUUUAACAACUUCCAUACUAAGUAUUUCUUAAUACUAGUAAUCGAAUACUAAAACUUGACUUCUCGAUACUUGAAUAAUAUUUUCCCCAAUUUCCUUUAAUCACUUCAAACUAAUUCCACUUUCUAGUCCAUUUUUUAAUAGCUAAUUCAUUACAAUAAUCUUCACUCCAAACAUAAAAAUAAUUCCUUCUUCCAAACUAGUAAAAUUAAUAAUCAUAAUUUAACCAAUUUAAUUUCCCAUCUUGAUUCAUAAAUUCAUGCCUUCAAAUGAGUAUUUCGUCCUUACAAAUUUUCCCGUUAACUAAACUCAUUCAAAAACCCAAAUGAAAAUUCUAGGGUUUUGCCCAAAAUUGGUAUUUCUUACCUUAGUGUAAAUAGCAUCUUCAAUUCAAAAAUAGUGACUUGAAAACAUACAUAUUCCUUCCUUAAAAUCUGAAAAUUAAACAAAUAAAAUCGAAACUCUAAAAAUUUAAGCAUAAAACAUACCAUAUCUUUUAAAGAAAUUAGACAAAUUAAAAAUGUAAUUGGAAUAGCCACUACCUCUUUUCCUUUCUUUUUCCUUUCCUUCCUUUUCUUCUUUUUCUUCUUCUUUUUCUUCCCUCUUUUCUUUCCCUUUUUCUUCUUCUCUGCCGGUUCUUUCUUUCUUCUAGUGUGUGUGUGUGUGAUUUAUGAGAGAAAAAGUGAUGGUCAAAGGCAUUAAAAAUCCACUAACUC